rnacentral:rRNA from 1 species
AUGGAAUUCAUGCCAUCCUCCCAAGGCCAGUUCUUUGUAGGUGCACCAAAAAGAUCUCCUCCGGUAUCCCGGAACGUAUGCCAGAAUGCCACACUGAACCACAACCAAACCCGUAGCAGAAAACAAAUAUGUAAUCCUAGUGUAGCACAUAAUGUACAAGUAAAUUAA